UUGAUCCUGGCUCAGGAUGAACGCUGGCGGUAUGCCUAACACAUGCAAGUCGAACGAGAAUUAAUCCCGGUUAAUUCUAGUGGCGGACGGGUGAGUAACACGUGAGAAUUCGCCUUUAGGAGGGGGAUAACGGAUGGAAACAUUCGCUAAAACCCCAUAUGCCCUCGGGUGAAAAAGAGAAAGUAAGUCAUACUGAUUUAUCUCUGCCUGAAGAGAAGCUCGCGGCUGAUUAGCUAGUUGGUAGGGUAAAGGCCUACCAAGGCGACGAUCAGUAGCUGGUCUGAGAGGACGAUCAGCCACACUGGAACUGAGACACGGUCCAGACUCCUACGGGAGGCAGCAGUGAGGAAUUUUCUGCAAUGGGCGAAAGCCUGACAGAGCAAUACCGCGUGGGGGAUGAAGACUUACUGAGUUGUAAACCUCGGUACCCUAAGGAAGAAGAUAUGACGGUACUUAGGGUGGAAAGCAUCGGCUAACUCCGUGCCAGCAGCCGCGGUAAGACGGGGGAUGCAAGUGUUAUCCGGAUUUACUGGGCGUAAAGCGUCUGCAGGUGGUUUCUUAAGUCUACUGUUAAAUCUUGAGGCUCAACCUUAAAUCUGCAGUAGAAACUAGGAGACUUGAGUAUAGUAGGGGUAGAGGGAAUUUCCAGUGGAGCGGUGAAAUGCGUAGAUAUUGGAAAGAACACCGAUGGCGAAGGCACUCUACUGGGCUAUUACUGACACUCAGAGACGAAAGCUAGGGGAGCAAAUGGGAUUAGAUACCCCAGUAGUCCUAGCCGUAAACGAUGGAUACUCGAUGUUGGACGUAUCGACCCGUUCAGUAUCUUAGCUAAC
rnacentral:rRNA from 1 species